rnacentral:rRNA from 1 species
GAUGAACGCUGGCGGCGUGCCUAAUACAUGCAAGUCGAGCGAACGGACGAGAAGCUUGCUUCUCUGAUGUUAGCGGCGGACGGGUGCGUAACACGUGGAUAACCUACCUAUAAGACUGGGAUAACUUCGGGAAACCGGAGCUAAUACCGGAUAAUAUUUUGAACCGCAUGGUUCAAAAGUAAAAGACGGUCUUGCUGUCACUUAUAGAUGGAUCCGCGCUGCAUUAGCUAGUUGGUAAGGUAACGGCUUACCAAGGCAACGAUGCAUAGCCGACCUGAGAGGGUGAUCGGCCACCCUGGAACUGAGACACGGUCCAGACUCCUACGGGAGGCAGCAGUAGGGAAUCUUCCGCAAAGGGCGAAAGCCUGACGGAGCAACGCCGCGUGAGUGAUGAAGGUCUUCGGAUCGUAAAACUCUGUUAUUAGGGAAGAACAUAUGUGUAAGUAACUGUGCACAUCUUGACGGUACCUAAUCAGAAAGCCACGGCUAACUACGUG